rnacentral:rRNA from 1 species
GUAAGGAAUAUUGCACAAUGGGGGAAACCCUGAUGCAGCAACGCCGCGUGGGCGAUGAAGGCCUUCGGGUCGUAAAGCCCUUUUCUGGGGGAAGAGGAAGGACAGUACCUCAGGAAUAAGUCUCGGCUAACUACGUGCCAGCAGCCGCGGUAAAACGUAGGAGGCGAGCGUUAUCCGGAUUUACUGGGCGUAAAGCGCGUGCAGGCGGCUGCGCAAGUUGGGCGUGAAAUCUCCCGGCUCAACUGGGAGGGGUCGUUCAAAACUGCGUAGCUUGAGGGCAGGAGAGGGAAGUGGAAUUCCCGGUGUAGCGGUAAUAUGCGCAGAUAUCGGGAGGAACACCAGUGGCGAAGGCGGCUUCCUGGCCUGUACCUGACGCUCAGACGCGAAAGCUAGGGUAGCGAACGGGAUUAGAAACCCUAGUAGUCC